GCGAGCGCUUGCCCCGCCCCUCGUGCCAAGCCGGAACACGCAGGCGCUCUCGGGCACAGCCGCCCCGUGGUAGCCUGGGACCGGUAGGGGAAAUGCCCUCGGCGGUUUGCUUCGCUCUGUAGAGGAGCGAUGGGGAGGCGUUGGGCCUGGCCUGAGGUAGGAGGGCGCCCAGCCGUCGCCGCUAGUGCCUGAGCCGUGAUGUUUGCGUGGGCCCUACUCUCCGCGGUGCUCUGGUCUCUCGUAGGAGUUGGAUCGCAACGUUCUUCCUUAUUCAAUAUCAAAGGCUUUCUUUACGGCACGGUAGGGCACCCAGUAAAAAUAUAUGUAAAGUUACACCAGACUAGCCCUGUCCUUAUUUGUAUGGAUGUUGAUCGUGCUAAUAAAGAAACAGUGGACCCCACCUACCUAUGGACUGGGCCAAAUGAAAACACAUUAAAAGAGAAUAGCCAAAUAAAUAUAACAAACACAGGAGAGCUGGUACUGAAGAAUUUUACGGAGUCAUUAUCUGGACAAUACUCAUGUAAUCUUUCCUACAAGACUAUCAAAGCAGAAACCCAAGAAGAAACUACAAUCAACAAGAAAUAUGACUUCCUGGUCUUUGCCUACCGGGAGCCUGAUUAUUCUUACCACAUGGCUGUGCGUUUUACCACAAACUCUUGUGUAGGAAGAUCUAAUGACCUGCUCUUCAGAGUGCUGAAGAAAAUUUUGGAUAACUUAAUCUCUGACUUGUUGUGCCAUGUCAUAGAGCCAUCCUACAAGUGCCAUUUUGUUAAAAUUCCAGAGAAGGACUUCGUGUAUGAACUAUUCAUAGCCUUUCAAGUGAAUCCUUUCGCACCAGGCUGGAAAAGUAUGUGCAACCACUCUGCCGACUGUGAAGACACCACCAAUCAUAACAUCCUCCAGUGGUCUGUAGUCCUGGGACAUUCAGUCCCGAUGUGGACGUCACAUGUCAGGUCUGUGUUUCCGUCCACAUCUAUGGAGCUAAAGCUUGCCCGUAAUCUUCAGGAGCAGAGGUGAAAGCACCGUUGUUGGCCUCUGAAGGUGGGGGCAGAGAUCUGCUCACGUCGGAGAGCAUCGUCGAUAGCCUUGGUUUGGACAAGUUCACGGUGAUGUGUUCACCAUUUGAGUGGAAACCCGCUGUCCUUCACCCGCUCCUCCCCCCACCCCUCCCCCCAUCCCACUCGUCACCUUCUUCUCGUCUUUUCCUAACUGCCGUGGAGCUGGGAUGAUACAAUGCGUAGACUCUUCGGACUGGCUUCUCUCCGCUCAGCACUAUGCGUCUUGAAUUCCUUCGUGUCUCAACGGAUCCCACAGUUUAUUUCUGCUGCUGUGCAAUAUUCCAGGGUAUAGAUAAAGCUGUCGUGAACAUGAGUAUGCAAGUCUGUGUGGACAGAGUUCUCAGCAAGAUCGGCUGAUACUGAGUGGCAUGGAUACUGGGAAAGGUGGCGACCCAAGUGGCUUACCACCGCGGUCUAACUUCUCCUCGCCAGCAUUCAGUACUGUGGAUAUGGGGUGCGGCUGACGUCUCUAACGGAGGGAGGGCAUUCCUUGUUGUUUUUAUCCCAGUCCCACUGGCUUCCAGUGCUGGGUAUCCUCUCCUGUGGUCGCCGGCUCCGCUCCUAUCCCUAGUUCUUCUGUGGCGUCCAGAUUUUUGCCAUUCUUAAUUGUAUUGUCUGUCUUCCUGUUGAGAUCUAAGAGUUCUUGGUACGUUCUGGCUCAGAGUCUUAGACACCUCUGCAAAGUUGUUCCCUCUUCCUGGGAUUUAGGCUUCACCCCCCCCCCCACUGUCUCACGGAGCAGAGUUUCAGUAUCAAUGAAACCCUGCCACACUGUCCAUGCGUCGGUGUACCAUGCUGUCUUGACUCAUGGGUACCGAUCUAAUUUGAAUAGUAUUCUUCAGUGUUAUGUCAGUAAUCCUGCACUUAUUGGCCUGAUCAUAUGAUUUACCGUUAACCCGUUAACGUGAUCCAUUGCAUUAAUUCAGAAAUUAUCGUAAGUUCAAGACAGUGAGUUCCAGGCCAGCCUGUGGCGCCACAGAGUGAGACCGUCACCCACAAAGAAGUUUCUAAUUCUUUGAAUAUUUGAAUAAACCCUUUCCAGUCGUUGUGUAUAAAUUUUUCUCUUAACGCUUUAUCUUUCCCAAAACACAAUAGCAUUAUGGGUUUUGGAAAUGUAGAGGCUUGUUUUGCUUCACUGUUGAUUUUUUUUGUUUGUUUGGCCUGUUUUGGUUUGGGGUACAGUGGUUUUGUUUGGCAUUGCUAGGGAUGGAACCCAGGGCCUCACGUAUACUAGCAAGUACGCGACUGCGGGGACAUGCCUAGGGCUGUAAAAUAAAUAAAUAAU